CCAGCCGGGCCGAGCGACGGAGAAGAGCCGGCUGCUGGCGGCGGAGCUGGGGGGCGCCGAGCCGAGCGCCGCCUUCCCCACCGCCCCGCUGGCUGCCGGGCUGGGCGCUGGUCGAGCCCCGGUGCGCCGCGCCGCGCCCCGCCGGCUCGGGUUACCGGAGCCGCGGCCGGCGCAGCCAAUGCGGGGCCGCCUGGCGCCUUCAAACGGCAGGAAGCGGAAAGUGCUUCUCCCAGACCCUCCCAAGCAGUGAUCUGGCUAGCAGAUUCCUGGCCAAAGGCUGUGGGAAGGAGGACCAGAGCAGAAGGACCCUGCAGAGCAAUCGUUCAUCACUGCAUGAAGUCAAAAGGGCAGGAGAAACCUCUGGUAUCUGCACCACACACACAGGUGCAGCUAAGCCAUGGCGGUACUCGGCCUGGGCAGUAUGUUGCUGGGCCUGCCUGACAUUUGCUUGAUUUUUUUUCCCCAAUAAAAGCUGUUUUUUUUCCUAGGUGAAA